rnacentral:tRNA from 1 species
UAUGGCAGAUUAAAGUGCAUUGGACUUAAACUCCUUUUAUAAAGACCCAGUCUUUUAUUAAAA